rnacentral:rRNA from 1 species
UAAUGCCUAGGAAUCUGCCUGGUAGUGGGGGACAACGUUUCGAAAGGAACGCUAAUACCGCAUACGUCCUACGGGAGAAAGCAGGGGACCUUCGGGCCUUGCGCUAUCAGAUGAGCCUAGGUCGGAUUAGCUAGUUGGUGAGGUAAUGGCUCACCAAGGCGACGAUCCGUAACUGGUCUGAGAGGAUGAUCAGUCACACUGGAACUGAGACACGGUCCAGACUCCUACGGGAGGCAGCAGUC